UACGUAGGUGGCAAGCGUUGUCCGGAUUUACUGGGUGUAAAGGGCGUGUAGCCGGGUUGACAAGUCAGAUGUGAAAUCCUGCGGCUUAACCGCAGAACUGCAUUUGAAACUGUUGAUCUUGAGUACUGGAGAGGCAGACGGAAUUCCUAGUGUAGCGGUGAAAUGCGUAGAUAUUAGGAGGAACACCAGUGGCGAAGGCGGUCUGCUGGACAGCAACUGACGGUGAGGCGCGAAAGCGCGGGGAUCGAACGGG
rnacentral:rRNA from 1 species